rnacentral:rRNA from 1 species
AUGAAUGCUAAAUAUAAACUUGCUGGAGAUAAGGGUAGAAAACAUGUUGUGUUUGCACCUGGAGAUCUUGUUUGGUUACAUUUGCGUAAGGAUAGAUUUCCUAAUUUGCGCAAAUCAAAGCUAAUGCCACGUGCUGAUGGUCCUUUUAAGGUGUUAGAGAAAAUAAAUGAUAAUGCAUAUAAACUUGAGUUACCUGCAGAUUUUGGGGUUAGUCCCACUUUUAACAUUGCAGAUUUGAAGCCUUAUUUGGGUGAGGAAGAUGAGCUUCCGUCGAGGACGACUUCAUUUCAAGAAGGGGAGGAUGAUGAGGACAUCAAUACCAUUGUUACACCCACAACCCCUACUGUUACAUAUAAUGGACCAAUUACUAGAGCUCGCGCACGCCAAUUAAAUUACCAGGUACUUUCGUUUCUUGGUAAUGAUUCUAAUGUUCAUGAGAAUAUGAUGCUGCCUAAAUUGGAUACUUUUGUUUUGCUUACAAAUGAAGGGCCUGGAUUGGAGAAGGAUGAACAUUGGAGCAAGAACAAGCAUGGAGUUGAUGGCAUGCGCAAGGGGAACAAGAACGGAGUUACCAGUGAUGAUUUCAAGACUUUGAAGCCACCAUAA